rnacentral:lncRNA from 1 species
AAACUUGGAGGCCAGUGAGGACAAAAAUAAAAAGUUAUAAAACAUUUAAGAAUGUGGAUUUUUGGGUUAUUUUUGGCGCCCCCUAGAACCUAAACCAUGGGGUGCAGCAUCAUGAUUUGAAUAACUUUUAAUGGCCAUGGGGUGUAGAUUGGCCUGAGCAAAUGUGGUGCCGGUGGAACGAAAGCCUUCGGAGGAGUUAGCGAAAUUCCAAUGUGUGCGUAUCGGCAAAAAAUGCGGAAUAACCCUUUAACUGUACAUUUGACAGAUACGCGCGCAUGUACUUUUUUGUAGAUCUUAUUGAGUUACAUGUGUGUGUCAAUUUUUGUGUCAUUUUGCCAAAGCGUACAGGUGUUACACUCAACAAUGUGUAUUUUCACCUUAGGGGACAAGAAAAAAUGGACUUUUUUCUCCUGCCAUGGGGGGGCGCUCUUUUGGGGAGUAAAAAUUCCUUCACAAAUGUGUUGAUGGCUGGACAUUGCAUCAUCCUAGAAAACUUGGAGGCCAGUGAGGGCAAAAAUAAAAAGUUAUAAGACUUUUAAAUAUGUGGAUUUUAGGGUUAUCUUUGGCGCCCCCUAGAACCUAAACCGUGGGGUGCAGCGUCAUGAUUUGAAUAACUUUUAAUGGCCAUGGGGUGUAGAUUGGCCUGAGCAAAUGUGGUGCCGGUGGAACGAAAGCCUUCGGAGGAGUUAGCGAAAUUCCAAUGUGUGCGGAUCGGCAAAAAAUGCGAAAUAACCCUUUAACCGUACAUUUGACAGAUACGCCCGCACUGACUUUUUUGUAGAUCUUAUUGAGAUACAUGUGUGUGUCAAUUUUUGUGUCAUUUUGACAAAGCGUACAGGCGUGACAGUCAAUAGUGUGAAUUUUCGCCUUAGGGGGCGCUAUGGAGCCAUUUUGCAUUUUCUUGUUUGGGCGACUUCGGAAUAUCAAAUUUUUCACCAGGCCCGGUCGUCCUGCCAAAUUUCAUGAGUUUUCGCCAGUGGGAAGUGGGCCAUUUUCCAGUUCAAAGGGGAGGAAAAAUAAUAAUAACAAAAGAAGGAAACUACAGGAACAAGAGGGCUCUCGCAGCUGCUUAGCAGCUACGCUCGGGCCCUAACUAGGACCCCGUUGGGGCACUGGCGGGCCCGAGCCGUGUCGCGUCUCCCCCCCCCCCCCCCCCCAACGUGCUGCCUCCCCGUCCCAUUUGUGUCCUCUGGCCAUCGCCCUCUCUGGUAACGCCCAUCACUGCAAAGACCCUUUUCCUUCAUCGGCGUUUGCUGUUCUUCCUGCCAGUGCGUGUUGCUUUCACUUACACUUGCCACAGCCAGCCUCGUGAGUGCCUAGCCUAUUGGAUAUCACUGUCACCUACACAGGACAGUCAUUACCUUUCUAUUAAUACUUUGUGUUUUAAUUUCACAUUAAUUUCCAUAUUGUAUAAACGACUGGAAAAAACUUGAGCCCCUGCCCCUGUAUAAUCAUGUGCAUGUCUCUGUUCUAGCUCCAAGGUGAAUCUUCACUGCUCAUGUUCUCCUCAGAAGCACUCACCUCACUCCCCUCAGGUUACUGUACACAUGCACCAACUGCCUGCUUCAGGUUUGGAUGGAGCUUCAUGGUUGUCUUUUGGAGAAAUGAGCAGUCAAGUUGUGCUUGAAAUUUGAUUUUUUUCAGGGGCAAAAGGAGCCUCUGCAUUCUUGUCAAAUAUGUAAAUAGCAUGUUUUUGCAGGUGCUAAAAACCAGACUCUGAGUGUGUGUGUGUGUGUGUGUGUGUGUGUGUGCGUGUGUGUGUGUCUGUGUGUGCGUUCAAGUCACAUGACAUAUUUAACCGGAUGUAGCUGCAAGACGGAGCCUCGUUGACUCUCCGUUUCAACUUAUCUCAAAAGUGAGGACCUCAACCUAUAUACCAGUUUUUAAAUUGUGUUGAUAGGCCAAAUAAAACCAGAGUUAUGAUAAAUUAUGUCCGCGAUACUUUUUUUCUGCUUAUUUUGAUCACGUUCGGCGCUCGAUCGCGCUGUAUGAGACAGGAAAACAUAGCAUGCACACAUUAGCGACAGGUCUUACAGGCGGAAAAGGCUUGCCAAAAGAAAAAAAAAAACACACCACAACAUCUCUCCUAUUGGUGGAAAACUUCACCACAACAACCAAUCCAAAAUUAUAUGGUGACUGAUUGACAAGGGGAGGGCGCUUACGUUCUUCCUGCAACAUGAGAAGCGAGGGAGGGACUCUCAGCAGGGAUGCAGUCUGGGACACGUAGUUGCAAACCUAGCGACUUUGUUGUUAGAUUCAAUGACUUUUCAGACCCCCUAACGACUUUUUUUUAGAAAGAAAGGGACUUUUAUCGACUUCUUCUGGAGUUUAGAGACUCUGACAUGAAGCAGGCUUUCCUUACUGAGGAGUUAGCAACGCUGCUAAGGGUGCAGAGCCACACAUGCGCUCAGAGCUCUGCAUGGGAGACUGAAGCUGACAGAGCUGCAGCAGUUAGCAGGUUUCACCCUCAGAGACCACCAGGGGUUCAUGUUGAGGCAUUUUAAUUUUUUUUUUUUUUUUGUGCCAUACCCACUGUCAGCACAAUCUGCAGUUACACUAACAAAAAUGCUGCAAAAAACAAAGAAUUAUGGAAAAAUUACACAUGGACUGACAUAGAGGAGGAUCUACACAAGUUUUUUACAUCAUGUUUUACAUCAUGCAUCAUUUACAUCAUGUUUUUUUGUAGUGGCAUAAAUAAAAAGUGACAUUUGUGAGACUAUACAGUGUUUUGUAAAUAAUUUUACAAAGAACGCCUGGGCCAUUGCCUGCAUUUUGAUGUAAAUAGAGGUAAAUCACUAUGUUCUUUGUUAAAAAUUUGCAUAUGUUUUGAAGUUUACAAUUUUUAUUUGAAGUUUAAGUUUUAAAAACAGUUCAUCACACAUAUUUGUGGUUUUCACAGUAAAAAUGUUACUUUUUUCCACUCGGAUUUUAUGUUUUGUGUGUGAAUUUGGGUCCAUUGUGUAAAUUCAGUAUGUCAACAUGAUAAAAUAACUGUAAAUUCGCACAGGUGAGGUUGUGCUGAAAAAAAUGAUACCAGGCAAGGCACGUGAUUGUCAAAUUUUGUGUCAAUAUGACAAAGCGUAUAGGCGUGAAUCUCAACAAUAUGUAUUUUCACCUUAGGGGACAAGAAAAAAUGGACUUUUUUCUCCUGCCAUGGGGGGGCGCUCUUUUGGGGAGUAAAAAUUCCUUCACAAAUGUGUUGAUGGCUGGACAUUGCAUCAUCCUAGAAAACUUGGAGGCCAGUGAGGACAAAAAUAAAAAGUUAUAAGACUUUUAAAUAUGUGGAUUUUAGGGUUAUCUUUGGCGCCCCCUAGAACCUAAACCGUGGGGUGCAGCGUCAUGAUUUGAAUAACUUUUAAUGGCCAUGGGGUGUAGAUUGGCCUGAGCAAAUGUGGUGCCGGUGGAACGAAAGCCUUAGGAGGAGUUAGCCACAUUCCAAUGUGUGCGGAUCGGCAAAAAAUGCGGAAUAACCCUUUAACCGUACAUUUGACAGAUACGCGCACAUUGACUUUUUCGUAGAUCUUAUUGAGUUACAUGUGUGUGUCAAUUUUUGUGUCAUUUUGACAAAGCGUAUAGGCGUGACACUCAACAAUGUGUAUUUUCACCUUAGGGGACAAGAAAAAAUGGACUUUUUUCUUCUGCCAUGGGGGGGCGCUCUUUUGGGGAGUAAAAAUUCCUUCACAAAUGUGUUGAUGGCUGGACAUUGCAUCAUCCUAGAAAACUUGGAGGCCAGUGAGGACAAAAAUAAAAAGUUAUAAGACUUUUAAAUAUGUGGAUUUUAGUGUUAUCUUUGGCGCCCCCUAGAACCUAAACCUUGGGGUGCAGCGUCAUGAUUUUGAUAACUUUUAAUGGCCACGGGGUGUAGAUUGGCCUGAGCAAAUGUGGUGCCGGUGGAACGAAAGCCUUCGGAGGAGUUAGCGAAAUUCCAAUGUGUGCGGAUCGGCAAAAAAUGCGAAAUAACCCUUUGACCGUACAUUUGACAGAUACGGCCGCACUGACUUUUUUGUAGAUCUUAUUGAGAUACAUAUGUGUGUCAAUUUUUGUGUCAAUAUGACAAAGCGUACAGGCGUGACAGUCAAUAGUGUGAAUUUCCACCUUAGGGGGCGCUAUGGAGCCAUUUUGCAUUUUAUUGUUUGGGCGACUUCAGAAUAUCGAAUUUUUCACCAGGCCCGGUCGUCCUGCCAAAUUUCAUGAGUUUUCGCCAGUGGGAAGUGGGCCAUUUUCCAGUUCAAAGGGGAGGAAAAAGAAGAAAGAAAGAAAGAACUAGGGCCCCGGUGGGGCACUGUCGGGCCCGAGCCGCGUUGCGCCGCCCCCAGCGCGACCGCCUCCCCCUCCCGAUCGCGUCACACUCAAGGUCCAAAGAUGGUGUGCGCACUUGUCUGUGGUCAUUUCCCAUUAUAAUGAAUGGGAGGCGCAGUUUCUACCAAAACACUCGCUGCAGACAAACUACAUGUCCUAUUUGAAAAAAGUCUGGACCAUGAGUGAGGGCACAAACACAGCUAGGAUAUAUCCAAACGGCAAGUUGCUCCUCGUUACGGUGUUGCCGGGAGAGUGAUGCGAUUGAGCCAUUGAGUGAUGGGCAGGAAAAACUUGACUGUUUCUCCUGCCAUGGGGGUUGGGGGAUGGGGGCGGGGGGGGAUGUGGAUUCUUUUAAGAAUGUGGAUAUUUGGGUCAUCUUUGGCGCCCCCUAGAACGUAAACCGUGGGGUGCAGCGUCAUGAUUUUUACAACUUUGAAUGGCCAUGGGGUGUAGAUUGGCCUGAGCAAAUUUGGUGUCAGUGGGACGAAAGCCUUAGGAGUAGUUAGCCACAUUCCAAUGUGUGCGAAUCGGCAAAAAAUGCAAAAUAGCCCUUUAACCGUACAUUUUACAGAUACGCGCGCAUUGACUUUUUCGUAGAUCUUAUUGAGAUACAUGUGAUUGUCAAAUUUUGUGUCAAUAUGACAAAGCGUAUAGGCGUGACACUCAACAAUGUGUUUUUUCACCUUAUGGGACAA